CGGUGCUGUGGUGUGCCGAGGGCGGAGCGGGAGGUAAAAAGAACUGAACUUACACUUAUGUCAAGACUGCACAGGCUGACAGCAUCUUCAUCCUGGGAACUCUGUUUUCGUUUCCGCUGCAAGACAGAUGAGAAGACAAAUUCAGAUAUAAACAGGAUUGCGGCUUUGAUUAAGGAAGAAAACAAAUCAGAUAACUCAAAGAGUUCUUAUCACUUCCUGUGUCAGCCAAAAGCUUCAGCCAACGAUGCAAGAUGCUGCCAGAAGACCAGAACCGCCGCUGUGAAGUUACAAGACUGUCUGGAGACAUUUGAAGUCUGUCCUAAGAGAAGCCCACCUCCUCUUCCAUUUAAAACUCUGAUCUGAACAAAGGCAGGGAGUGGACAGUGACCCAAAGUGCCCAUGAUCACUUGAAGAAAUGCUUGCAAAACAGGUAUCUGCUGUAUGCAAGCUCCGUGUUUGCUCCCAGGAAGAUACAGGUCGGCAACACUCAAGGUUAAAGAAUGUAUAUCCUUGCAAGAGAGAGACAGCAGAUACGAUGUGCACACCUCAAUUCGUGGACCACUUCUGUACCAACAGCUGCUCUGGGUCCUGGAAACUGGCACGGGAAAGGCAUACUUCCUGACUACUAAUUGGGAAUAAAAAAGAAGAGAACUUUCACAUUGUGAUCUCUACUCUGAAUGAAUCAGGCAAGGCAGA